UGCAGACAAGAUCGCGCUGGUGCCUCGAAAGAGGCUUAAAAGGGAACACGGUGAGAAGGCAUGCCCUUCGAAUCCGAGGCUGUCCCUGCAACUGUAAGCGGUGAGCGCGAUGCAUAUGUGCGGUGGGACAAAGGUUCCUGCCGCCAGUCACUGGGCCGGACGCUGCAACAUGCGAGGCCUGGGAAGGCCUUGCAUCGUCGCAUUGACCCGUGAGCCAGGAGACCUGCCUGCGUCUGGUCGCUCAU
rnacentral:ncRNA from 2 species